rnacentral:rRNA from 1 species
GACGAACGCUGGCGGUGUGCUUAACACAUGCAAGUCGAACGGAAAGGCCCUGCUUUUGUGGGGUGCUCGAGUGGCGAACGGGUGAGUAACACGUGAGUAACCUGCCCUGGACUUUGGGAUAACUUCAGGAAACUGGGGCGAAUACCGGAUAGGAGCUCCUGCUGCAUGGUGGGGGGUGGAAAGUUUCGGCGGUUGGGGAUGGACUCGCGGCUUAUCAGCUUGUUGGUGGGGGAGUGGCGUACCGAGGCUGUGGAGGGUAGCCGGCCUGAGAGGGUGACCGGCCACAUUGGGACUGGGAUACGGCCCAGACUCCUACGGGAGGCAGCAGUGGGGGAUAUUGCACCAUGGGCGGAAGCCUGAUGCAGCAACGCCGCGUGCGGGAUGACGGCCUUCGGGUUGUAAACCGCUUUCGCCUGUGACGAAGCGUGAGUGACGGUAAUGGGUAAAGAAGCACCGGCUAACUACGUG